rnacentral:lncRNA from 13 species
GGCAGGAGACGCAGCGGCCGCCCACAGCUCCCCGCGCCUGCCGGCCCGCUGUAGCUGACCCCGGCCCGCCCUCUCAGGCAGGCGCUGCCGCUUUACCCGCCAGCACUGCCUUCUCCAGGCUCCGAGCGGCCGUGCGGGAAAUCCCGCCCCCUCGGCCUCCCUGCCCCGCCUCUCGGCGCCUCCAUUGGCUCGCGGGGACGCCCAUCGGCGCUGCGGCGUUGGUUCGGAGGUUCCCGUGCGGCGCGAGUCUCUCCCAUGAGCGCGGGUGUCGGAAGCGGCGGAGGUGGUAGUGUCAGCCCUGGGAUAGCCUUCCCGGCACGCGGGCGUUUGUGUCUAAAUCGUAGGGGACCGUCUCUUCCCUAGCUUGCCGACGUAGGGAACCGGAGCCUCGGGUGAGGGCCACACCGGGGAAUUUGGAGCGGGUUGACUUUUCCCGCAACAUUUUUCGGCAGAGACCUUGAAAAAUGCCCUGCUGCUGGCGCUUUGUAGUUUGCUCAGAUGGUAACCUUCCCAACUCCGCUCGAAGCAUCCAGUCUUAAUCCCCUCCAGCAGAAUGGUGCUGACCAACUCAUCAAGAACACCAUGCACCCCAACUCUAAAGAAGGAAGACUUUCAAGGAAAAACACUCUUCAGGGUUGAUGGGGCAUCAUGUCAACAACUACUCUCAAAUGGUUGGAGAGAGAGAUUUUGGACUGUACUUGCAACUUUUAAGAAGGUACUGGAAGAAGAAGAGGAACAGCGUACAAGAACUACAAGUACACCUUUUGUGGGAAACAGCCAGUUCAAAAUCUUCCCAAUCAUCAGUUAUACUUUUCUUGGGAUUAUGAAAUUAAAACAUUCUGUACUUGGUUAUUUUCACAAGCCUUAUCAUCUUCAAAUACUCCCUCCUUUGCCCAUCCCUCAAAAGGUUAACAGUGGGAAAUUUUUCUUUAAAAGUAAACUAUGUUCUUUUCUUUAA